rnacentral:rRNA from 1 species
CGAACGCUGGCGGCAGGCCUAACACAUGCACGUCGAGCGGACCUUUCGGGGUCAGCGGCGGACGGGUGAGUAACGCGUGGGAAUAUGCCCUUCUCUACGGAAUAGUCCUGGGAAACUGGGGGUAAUACCGUAUACGCCCUUUGGGGGAAAGAUUUAUCGGGGAAGGAUUAGCCCGCGUUGGAUUAGGUAGUUGGUGGGGUAAUGGCCUACCAAGCCGACGAUCCAUAGCUGGUUUGAGAGGAUGAUCAGCCACACUGGGACUGAGACACGGCCCAGACUCCUACGGGAGGCAGCAGUGGGGAAUCUUAGACAAUGGGGGCAACCCUGAUCUAGCCAUGCCGCGUGAGUGAUGAAGGCCUUAGGGUUGUAAAGCUCUUUCAGCUGGGAAGAUAAUGACGGUACCAGCAGAAGAAGCCCCGGCUAACUCCGUG